UAGUAGGCAGGAUGGGCCCUCGAACACCUCCGUGUUCCUGGUUGUGAGUUGACAACACACGAAUGAGGGCAUCGAUAGGGACAUCCAGGAACCUGGCUGCUCUUGCAGAGGACCCGAGUUCUGUCCCCAACACCCCCUGGUGGCUCGGGUGAUCUGCCUUGAUUCCGGGAGCACAGAGACCACAGACUGCAACUCUAACUUCCCUCUCCAAACUGGUCCACCACCCCAGGAUACUCCCUCUGCCUUCACAUGCAGCCCUGCUCAUAUCUGACACCUCCAAGAGACCGAACUUGGCUUAGUCUCCCGCUCAUUUUCAUCUGUUGUGACUAUUUUGACUGCACAGGCACAUACUUGCCAUAGAUGAGACAGAAAACAGUCACGAAGGCAGAGUGGGGGAAAAUGACUUCUGGUCAGGUGUGGCACGGUGCCACGGGUCUGUCACCCCAGUGCUCAGAGGAUGAGAAAGGCCACUGUUGGGAGUUUCAGGCCGGCCUGGGCUACAUGGUGAGAACUUGUCGAGGGUGGUGGAGGUGAAGAGAGUGAAGGGAUAGAUAUCAUUUUUAGAGUUCAAACCCCAGAACGCUAUAAAAUGGAUGUCACAGCACAACCUGUGGUCUCAGCACUUGGGAGGUAGAGGCAGGAGAAUCAGAGCACUCCAGGUCAUCCGUAGUUACAUAACAAGUUUGGGGCCAGCCUGAGCUACAUGAGACCGUGUCUAUAGAAAGGAAACUCAGAUCCCAAACUCAGAGUGCUGGGAUGGCAGGAUGGCAGGUGUCUGGCUCUAGAUGGGACCCAGGGCUUGCUGCGUCCUGGGCAAGCUGUCUACGCACUGAGCUAUUUCCCCGGGCCACACAGAAUUGUUUAUAGCCAAGAACAGCAAAAGGAAGCAACCUCCAUAUCCAUCAGCUGGAGAUUUAUAAAACCAACUUCAGCCUGGCCGAGUUGGGAGACACUCCCUAGGGGGUUGAAUGCACUGACGUGGAAAGCAAGCCCUUGUUAUUUUCCUGUUAAAACCAAGACAAAACCAAAUCUGUAAUUAAGAAAUAAAUAAAAUGAAAUGAAAACACUACGGGCAGGGCAUGGUGUGGGCUGAGCAGACAUCUGCUCUGAGGCCAGGCGACUUCAGAAAUGGCUAUACAUUGUGUCACUGAGAGCCCAGAAGCAAAGAACACACAGGAAGGGGUUGGGGCAGAAGAGUCCCCAACAUAUACCUCCAACACACGCCUCAUCCCAGCUGGGUCCUGUCACCCACCUUCAGCCAAGUCCCCACGCCAUCAUGUCAUGAACCAACCCAGGGACCAAACCCUUGAUUAGGCACAUCAGAGAAGACCAAUGAUUGUAAGUGAAAACCAAACAAACGAAAACCCAUCUCGAACAGUCUGGGGACGGCCGGGGCCUCCCUGGUUUUGGUCCAGGCAGCUUCUGCACCGUCUGCGUCACUGAUCUUCAGCGGAACUUCUCUGGGUCACAGCACGCUGACAUCACCGCAGCCAGCACCCCCAAACUAAAAGAAGGUAGUGUUUCCCUCCAGGACCCAGGAACACAGUCCCUUGGGUGUGAGGGCCUUCCUAGAGCCAAUCACAGAAGCCAGCCACAGAAAGCUUUCGGUUGGAGCCUGCAAGAUAGGAUAGUUCAGCAGGGAGAGGGGCUUGGUGACAAGGUGAAGGACCGGAGUCUAAUCCUCAGGACCCACACCGUGAAAUGGA